rnacentral:tRNA from 1 species
GGGCUCGUAGCUUAGCCUGGUGGAGCACCCGCCUUAUAAGCGGGGGGUCGAGGGUUCGAAUCCCUCCGAGCCCA